GGCCAGUUGGCCGAGCGGUCUAUGGCGCAGCACUCAGUUAACAAGACUUGUCCGUAUCGUAAGUUCGAAUCCCUCACUGGUCA